UUGUCCAUACCCCUCCACAUCUCCCUCUAAUUGACCAAACUUUUUCUUCUCUUCCAGUGGCAGAUUAAAGAACUUCUCAGCCUCAGCUUUCACUCUGUCAAGUAACGAAUCGCUGACCCCAUGGUUUGUCAGCUUCAUACACACACAUAAAAUCUUGUUAGCCAAUUAUCUUAGUAUAUGAAGUACAUAAGAUGAAUAUUUUUACUUACCUGAAAGAAACCCCAUUCCUUACAGGCACUGUGUAACCUUUCCAGCUCAGUGUCCAUUUUAUCGCCGUGAAGUAACAUCUCCAUGUCAAUUACAGGGACUUCAAGUCCGGGAUUGGGCCUGGAAAGAGCUGGUUCUUGAUCGGGACGUACGUAUCGGGAUGGUACUGCAGCCAUCUUCUCCUUGGCCAGUUCAUGGACUGAAGGUACCUCCAGAGAACU
rnacentral:lncRNA from 1 species